UACGUAGGGUGCAAGCGUUAAUCGGAAUUACUGGGCGUAAAGCGUGCGCAGGCGGUGAUGUAAGACAGUUGUGAAAUCCCCGGGCUCAACCUGGGAACUGCAUCUGUGACUGCAUCGCUGGAGUACGGUAGAGGGGGAUGGAAUUCCGCGUGUAGCAGUGAAAUGCGUAGAUAUGCGGAGGAACACCGAUGGCGAAGGCAAUCCCCUGGAACCUGUACUGACGCUCAUGCACGAAAGCGUGGGGAGCAAACAGG
rnacentral:rRNA from 1 species